rnacentral:rRNA from 1 species
ACCUGUCCUUAGUACGAGAGGACCGGGAUGGACGUACCUCUGGUGUACCAGUUGUCCUGCCAAGGGCAUGGCUGGGUAGCUAUGUACGGAAUGGAUAAGCGCUGAAAGCAUCUAAGCGCGAAGCCAACUUCAAGAUAAGAUUUCCCACCGCAAGGGUAAGACCCCAGAAAGACUAUCUGGUUGAUAGGUCGAAGGUGUAAGUGCAGCAAUGUAUUUAGCUUAUCGAUACUAAUAGGUCGAGGACUUGACCAA